rnacentral:rRNA from 1 species
UACGGAGGGUGCAAACGUUGCUCGGAAUUAUUGGGCGUAAAGCGCUCGUAGGCGGUUUGUUAAGUCGGGUGUGAAAGCCCAGGGCUCAACCCUGGAAGUGCACUCGAAACUGGCGAACUUGAAUAUGGAAGAGGGUCGCGGAAUUCCCGGUGUAGAGGUGAAAUUCGUAGAUAUCGGGAGGAACACCAGUGGCGAAAGCGGCGACCUGGGCCAAUAUUGACGCUGAGGAGCGAAAGCGUGGGGAGCAAACAGG